rnacentral:rRNA from 1 species
CUACGUGCCAGCAGCCGCGGUAAUACGGAGGGUGCGAGCGUUAAUCGGAAUAACUGGGCGUAAAGGGCACGCAGGCGGUGACUUAAGUGAGGUGUGAAAGCCCCGGGCUUAACCUGGGAAUUGCAUUUCAUACUGGGUCGCUAGAGUACUUUAGGGAGGGGUAGAAUUCCACGUGUAGCGGUGAAAUGCGUAGAGAUGUGGAGGAAUACCGAAGGCGAAGGCAGCCCCUUGGGAAUGUACUGACGCUCAUGUGCGAAAGCGUGGGGAGCAAACAGGAUUAGAUACCCUGGUAGUCCACGCUGUAAACGAUGUCGAUUUGGGGGUUGAACUAUAAGUUUGGCGCCCGUAGCUAACGUGAUAAAUCGACCGCCUGGGGAGUACGGCCGCAAGGUUAAAACUCAAAUGAAUUGACGGGGGCCCGCACAAGCGGUGGAGCAUGUGGUUUAAUUCGAUGCAACGCGAAGAACCUUACCUACUCUUGACAUCCAGAGAACAUUC